AGAGCGAUCCCCCUUCGUGGACUCCGAGGGGAUGCAGCAGCAAUUCAUGUUUUGAAGUGCUUUAAAAGGUUCAAAACGUGAGGCGCUGCUAUACCCCCUCGCGAGGAAGUUGGAAGGUGGGGUUCUGCUGGACGCGUGUUCCUGCGAGGCGACCGCUCCCAAGGCCAGCUCAACAGCAGCUCUGUACCGAUCCCCCUCGAGCCAGAAGGAGGCCCGGUGACACACAGCCCUCCGGUAGGACCUGGCUUGCGCCAUCCGGCCCCCUCCAUUGGGCGCCUGCAUGACCCAGGUGAGAGACCCGACGGGUUGGGGACCGCGAGGGGCGGAGGGCGAGGAAAAAGUGACCUUGACUAAGGGGCUUUACCUUCCAGAAGCGCAGUGGCCCUUUGCCCAGGGCCCCCAAGAGGCAUCAAGAUUGAGGGCGACCACACAGGCCUCUGACUGCGUGGUGCCCUUUCUGACUUAAAAUAGUCAUCUUGCACCAUUCACACGGUCGAAGUUGCAUUGUGCCUAGAUUUUCCUUCAAGGACAAAAAUGUGAAUAAAGCAAUAUUUCAGCCAAA